rnacentral:rRNA from 1 species
UGAUCCUGGGCUCCGGCCCCGCCGGCCAGCAGCGGCAGGCCUAAUACAUGCAGGCGAGGGGGGGUGGGUAACAUUCACACGGUGUACGGGUGCGUAGACACGUAUGCAACCUACCUAUCACAGGGGGAUAGCUUUUGAAACAAGGAUAAUACCGGCAUAAAGCAGGGACACCGCAUGGUGGAUAUUGCUAAAGAUGUUAUCGGUUAUUUUUGGCAUUUUUUGAUUAAGUUAGAUGGGGUGAGGUAAUGGGCUCACAUUGACGAUGAUCAGUUAGGGGGCGUCAGAGGGCGUUGUCCCCACACUGCAUGAGAUACGGGCAGACUCCUACGGAGGGCAGCAGUAGGGGAAUAUUGGGCAAGGGUGCAACCAUGACCAGCCAUGCCGGGCGUGCAGGAAGAAGGUCCUCUUGGAUUGUAACUGCUUUUUUUCAGGGAAGAAUGAUGGGAUGCGUCCCAAAGGUGACGUACUUGAAGAAUAAGCCCGGCUAACUACGUGCCAAGAGCCGGUAAUACGUACGGGUGCGAGCGUUGUCUCGGAUUAUUGGGUUUAAAGGGUGCGUAGGUGGAUUUUUAAGUCAGUGGUGAAGCUGGUUGCUCAACAAUCAAGUUGCCAUUGAUACUGAAGUCUUGAAGAAGUGGAGGCUGUGGAAUGAUUGGUGUACGGUGAAAUGCAUAGAUAUCAUCCAGAACGUCAUUGCGAAGGCAGAUGGCUGUACUUUUUCUGAACUAGAGGCACGAAAGCGUGGGGAAUUCAAACAGGAUUAAGAUACCCGGUUCCACGCUGGUAAACGAUGCGAACUUAGCUUUUUUGUUUAUGAAUUGGAGAGGCUAAGGGAAACCGAUAAGUUCGCACCUGGGGAGUACGCCGGCAACGGUGAAACUCAAAGGACACAUUGGGAGGGGGUCGCGCAACAAGCGGGUGGGAGCAAAUGUGGUUAAUUCGGAUAUACGCGAGGAACCUUACCUGGCCUACAAUCACAAUAGAAUUAAUUUCAGAGAUGAGUAAGCCAGCAAUGGGCUUGUUGUGAGGUGCUGCAUUGGUGUCGUCCAGCUCGUGCCGUGAAGGUGUUGGGUUAAGUCCCGCAACGAGCAGCAACCCCUGGAAAUUGCUAACACGGUUAAGCCUGAGGACUCUAUUCAACUGCUGCGCAAGCAGAGAGGAAGGAGGGGACGACGUUCCAGUCAUCAAUUACGUCCAGCGGCUACGAAUCGUGUACAGAUGGCGUGUACAGCAGUGUUGCGAGCCCAGCGAUGGUAAGCCAAUCACAAAAAGCACGUCACAGUUCGGAUUGCAAAGGCUGCAACUCGCCUUAUGAAAGCUGGAAUCGCUAGUAAUCGGCAUACAGCAAUGCGCGGUGAAUACGUUUCCGUACCUUUGUACACACCGCCCGUCAAGCAUGGGAGUCGGGAGACCGUGAAGCGGAGGUAAAAGAUUUCCGUCAGGCGUAAAUCUGGGUUAAGCUGGGCUAAGUCGUACAAGGUAGCCGUCCGGGAAGGUGGUUGGC